UGCCCUCGGUAGUGUGCUGUGGCAUCACACGGCUCACAGCAACCUCCAGCUCUUGGGCUUAUGUGAUUCUCUUGCCUCAGCCUCCCGAGCAGCUGGGACUACAGGCGCCCGCCACAACGCCCGGCUGAGAAAGUUUCAUUUUUCUUACGAUACCAAGAAAUGAGUAAGGUUAAAAGGCAGUGGGAACUUGUUAAAGUUUAUAGCACAUGGUAGUAUUAUAUAUCUAGGAAACACCGUUUAUAAAUGAACUUUCUUAAGUCACAGGCGAGUGCACAGCACCAGGGAACAAUGGACUAUAAAGAGCCAGAGUUACUACCAGGAAGUAGUGCAGGGCCUCAGAAAAUCUUAAUCAGUAUUGUUUAUAGGAUUAUAAAUUCUAUCAAUUCUAGAAUAUUUACAAGUUCUGAAAAGAUAAAAUUUAACUUUUUUGACUUCAACUGAAAGUAAUAGAAAGCUAAGACUUUGAUACAAUAGACUUUUUUUUUUUUUCUUUCCCUUUAGAGAUGGUGUCUCCCUCUGUCACCCAGGCUGGAGUGCAGUGGCAAAAAUCAUACUCCCUUCUGCAGCCUCAAAUUCCUGGGCUCAGGUGAUCUUCCACCCUCAGCCUCCCUGGUUGCUGGGACUACAGCCAUGUGCCACUAGGCCUAAUUUUUUUUUUUUUUUUUUCCAGAAACAGGGACUCUCUAUAUUGCCCAGGCUGGUUUUGAACUCCUGGCUUCAAGCAAUCCUCAGAAGGAUUUUUAUUAAGAGUUUUAUCCCCUUGGAGAGUAUCUGGAAGGAAUGAAGGCAGACAGAAUGGGAGGAGAGAAGGAAAAGAGAAAGGAAGGGAAGGAGGGAAAGAAGGGAACCAUCCUGGACACCUUGAAGGAUCCUGCCAGGACCAGCACAGAGGGUGUGGGUCUCACUAUGUUAAUGAGGUUGAUUCGAACUCUGGGGCUUAGGAAAUCCUCCCACCUUAGCUACCUGAGUAGCUGGGACCACAGAUGUGAGCCACCACAUCCGACUGUUGUUUUUUUUUUUUUUUUUCUUCAUCAUGAUUCUCCUUUCCUUGCUUUUUGCCUUUUUUUUUUUUUUUUUUUUUUUGCAGUUUCUGGCCAGGGUUGGGUUUGAACCCACCACCUCCAGCAUAUGGGGCUGGCGCCCUACUCCUUUGAGCCACAGGUGCCACCACAUCCGACUGGUUUUAAUGUUUAUUACCAACUAUAUUCAAAAGAAAUCUAACCUGAGUAUAGUUUUCAGUCCCAGUACUCAACCAAAAUCCCAUUCUGUCUAGAACUAGCCAUGUUAGAAAAUUCCUGUUCAAGGAAUUAGGGUUAUUCUGGUCUUUGGGAAGUAAAGCAGACUUUAUUAUGUGACCUAAUACCCAGGAAAACCCAGAACUAGCUAUGAUAGGCAGAGUUCUAAGAUGGCCCUCCAAGAUUGCCAUCCUUGGGAUAUAUAUACUUUUUCUCAGUAUUAAUUGAACACAAAUCUAGAUAUUUCUGUGAAGGGAUUUUGGAAAUGUAACUGGGGUCUCAAAUCUGUUGUCUUUAAGAUAAAGAGAUUUCAUGGAUGGCUUUGACCUCAUCACACGAACCUUUAAAAGCAGGGAGUUUUCUCUGAACAGGGACCUACAACCACAAUGUAUCUACCAACACCAAGAAUCAUCUUAGAAAAGGACUUUCCCCAGAGCCUCCAGAUAAGAAUUCAGGCCAGCCAACACCUAGAUUUCAGCUGUGUGACACCCUGGGCAGUGGGGGCAGAUAUCCCACCCUGUUGUUGUUGUUGGACUUAUGCUCUACAGAAUUAGGACCCAAUAAACAACAAAUAGGUGUUACUGAAGCUACUAAAUGUGUGAUAAUUUGUUACACAACAAUAGAAAACAAAUAAACCAGCUGAAUAUGCUGCAAACUUUCCUGGAUUAAAUUUCUUCUAUACUAGCACAUCACUAGCAUUUGAGAGGGAACCUGCAAAACAUCAGAAAAGGCAGAGGAGCUAUUUUAUUCUCUUUACUUGCUACCUUAUCCUAACACCAGUGAAGGAGAGAUCACAUUCCUCCACCAACUGCAGCCACAAACCGUUAAUAUCUAUCAGUGAUUCCUGUAGUAACUCAAUAUAUUGGCUUUGAAGUUAACCCAAUCUGGAUCCAAAUCUUGGUCCAGACACUUUCUAACUGUAUAGUCUUGGGAAAAUACUUUAACUUCCAUUUCUUAAUCUGCAAAAAUCAGUUUGUCCAUGAAGAUUAAGUAAAAUUACAUAUAUAAUUACAUAUUAGGUACACAGUAAAUAUUAAUUUUCUUUCUUUACCAAAUAAAUUUUAACCCUUUCCUGGUCUACUUUCCUUUUUAAAAUUUUAUUGCUUUUCUGUUGUCUCAUGUGAUACCUUUUUAUAUGGUAGGAGAAAUAGUAUGCAUGCUGCAAACAAAUGAAAAAUGAAUACUUGGGGAAGAGUUUCCUAUCUACCGUGUAGCAUCAUUAUGAGGCUGAGGCAGGAGGACUGCUUGGGCCCAGGAGUUCAAGUUCAACCUUGGCAACACAGUAAGAUCCCGUCUGAAAUCAACAUGUUGGCUGCACUGAGUUCUCAUCUGGAGACUCCAGAGAAAAUCUGUUUCUUGGUUCACUCCUGGUACUGGCAGAUUUUAGUUCUUGUGGCUAUAGGACUGAGGUCCCUGUUCCAUGCUAUCAUCCAGGGGCCACCUCAACUCCUAGAGGCCACCCACAUUCCUUGUAACUUGGUCUCCUCCAUCUUCAAUACAACAAAGUAUGUCGAAUUAUCUCAAUUUUAAACAAAGAGAUAUUUUGUGAUAAUGAAUUAGGUCCUGGGCUGGAGAUUGGGAUGGGGUUGAAGACAGAAGUCACACACACACAUAUGCACAUCACCUAACACUUCUAGAGUGACUGUAUCCUCUUCCAGGUUUUGGCCUUGCUCAGAUGGGGCACUAACUUCACAACGAUAUUUUCCAGCAUCAUUUCUUGUAACAUUUCUGAUCCGAAUAUUGAAAUCUAUCAUCUCAGCUCGAUCUUUAAAAUCACCUUUUAGAAAAAGAAGAUACUGAUGUUAGUAAUAAUGCAAGUAACUUUCCAUGUAAUACUUUCCUCAACUCACUUUAUUUAGUAACCAAAGCAUUUUUUUUAUUAAAAAAAUCAAUUUUAAAAGCCUAA